rnacentral:rRNA from 1 species
UACGUAGGGUGCAAGCGUUGUCCGGAAUUAUUGGGCGGAAAGAGCUCGUAGGCGGUUCGUCGCGUCGGCUGUGAAAACCCGGAGCUCAACUCCGGGCCUGCAGUCGAUACGGGCGGACUCGAGUUCGGCAGGGGAGACUGGAAUUCCUGGUGUAGCGGUGAAAUGCGCAGAUAUCAGGAGGAACACCGGUGGCGAAGGCGGGUCUCUGGGCCGAUAUUGACGCUGAGGAGCGAAAGCGUGGGGAGCAAACAGG